GUGCUUCCGAGUGCAGAAGAUGAGGUCAAUGUAGCUUGCUUUCAUCCUCUUGCUGGAAGUGGUCUUGUUUAUGCAACCAAGGAAGGCAAACUUAGAAUCCUUCAGCAUGAUGGUGGUCAUGCGCCCAGACCUGAUCACUUUUUUGAAGCAAGAGCAGUUGAGGUACAACAGCUCUUGUAUUUUUAAUACAUUUGCUAAAACUGGGUAGAUUUGCUAAAGGUGCUUUUCUAUUUUAUUCUU